rnacentral:lncRNA from 1 species
UCAGAACCCUUUUUACGGUCUUGGUUCUCUCUCAGCAUCUUCUCAAUGCCCUCCCAGAGCUCCCAGUCCCCUCCCAGUGCCUCCCAGUGCCCCCCAGUCCCCUCCCAGUGCUCCCAGUAUCCCCCAGUCCCUUCUCAGUGUCCCCCAGUCCCCUCCCAGUGCUCCUGCUUCUUUCUACAUUCCUGGAUCUGUCUCAGUGUCUUCUCAAUUGUCUCCAAGUCUUUUCUAGUCCCCUCCCAGUGCCUUCCAGUCCCCUCCCAGUGCCUCCCAGUGCUCCCAGUCCCCUCCCAGUCCCUCCCAGUGCUCCCAGUCCCCUCCCAGUGCUCCCAGUGUCCCCCCAGUGCUCCUAGUGCAUUCCCAGUGCUCCUGAUUCUUUCUACACUCCUGGUUCUCCCUCAGCGUCUCCUCAAUCCCCUCCAAGUGUUCCCCAGUCCCUUCCCACAGCUCCCAGUCCUCUCCCAGUGUCCCCCAGUACUCCCAGUCCCUUCCCAGUGCUCCCAGUAUCCCCCCAGUCCCCUCCCAGUGUCCCCCAGUCCCUCCCAGUGCUCCCAGCGCCCUCCCAGUGCUCCUGCUUCUUUCUACCCUCCUGGUUCUCUCUCAGCAUCUCCUCAAUCCCCUCCAAGUGUUCCCCAGUCCCUUCCCUCAGCUCCCAGUGCCCUCCCAGUGCCCUCCCAGUGCCUCCCAGUGCCCUCCCAGUGCUCCCAGUGCCCUCCCAGUGCUCCCAGUCCCCUCCCAGUGCUCCCAGUGCCCUCCCAGUGCUCCUGCUUCUUUCUGCGCUCCUGGUUUUCUCUCAGCGUCUUCUCAAUCUCUUCCAAGUGUUCCCCAGUCCCUUCCCACAGCUCCCAGUUCCCUCCUAGUGCUCCCAGUCCCCUCCCAGUGCUCCCAGUGUCCCCCCAGUCCCCUCCCACAGCUCCCAGUCCCCUCCCAGUGCCCUCCCAGUGCUCCUGCUUCUUUCAACGCUCCUGGUUCUCUCUCAGCAUCUCCUCAAUCCUUUCCAAGUCUUUUCUAGUCCUUUCCCAGAGCUCCCAGUCCCCUCCCAGUGCCUCCCAGUACUCCCAGUUCCCUCCCAGUGUCCCCCCAGUCCCUUCCCAGUACCUCCCAGUGUCCCCCAAUCCCAUCCCACUCCCCUCCCAGUAUCNNNNNNNNNNNNNNNNNNNNNNNNNNNNNNNNNNNNNNNN